rnacentral:lncRNA from 1 species
AUCUAGAAUUAAGACACUGAGUGGGAAGAGAGAUACAAAUAUGUCCAUAGAAAUAUGGAAGGUUUUAAGCCAGAAAAUCCUUAAAUGAAGUUUAAUUGCCACUAGAAUUAUUUUCAAGUUAAGAAGAUAAGAGGAUUGACUUUUUAAACUUCAAAAUGAACUUCCCUGCUGUGACUGACUAUAUUCCCCAGUAUGGAGAAUUAUGAGGAACCUGUUGAACAGAAAAGUCUCUGACCAUAAUCAAGGUCACACAGUCAGAAGGCAUCCCAGCAGACACUCCACACUAGCCAAUGUGGAUUCAGAGACUGCACCCUUGAUUACUGUGUUGUUUGAUGAUACUAGUGCACCUUCAUGAAUCAGAACUUUCCAUAUAUGGAGGUUAUUCAGCAUGUCCUUUGUGAGUAAUGGUUACAGGUAUAAGGUGCAUACAGGUAGAUGUGAAGAAGGCAGUGGAGGAUAACAGGAAAAUGGAAGAGAAUGAGGAAAUGUAUGGUCCUGUGGAAGAAACACUGGAAUUAAGUUUAAAAACAUCUGAGGAAGAUAGAAAACAUUUUAUCUUUCAAGAUAAAAAAAGAAAAGCUCUUUGCCAACAGAAAACAUAAUAUGCGGACUCUAUGGCUAUUGUUUCUGAAAAAUAUAAGAGAUGAUUACAUCACAUUGUGUAUUCUGUAGGAAAAACACUGUAAUGCUUAUAUGGCUAAUAAUGGAAUGAUCUAAGUCAAUAUAUUGUGCAGUUUUGAGUGACAGAAGAAUUACACCAUUAUUCUUUGUAUUUUGGUUUCUGCACUAAGUUAGUCAUGUUCACUGUUUCAUCAUCAAUUAUCAUUCACUCAUUUUAUAAAAUUUUAGCAUCUGCAUUUAAUGUUACUGUAUGGUUUCUGUUUACUACAGCUGGUUGCAAUAGACACAGAUGACAAUUUCAGAGCUGUGUAUAAAAGGUCACAAAAAGUAAACAUUCAAAACAGAAACAUCUUACUUCCAGAAAGUAUAAAAUUGACGUAUGAGUAAGAUGUCAAAAGUUAUGAAAACUGGAAUGUGUUCAUCUCAUUACAUGUAAAUGCAUCUAUUUGAAAAAUGUGUUUUUUAAAGUAGAUCAUUAGGUAACAUUAGUCUUAAAAAUCAUAAAUUCUCCAUCAUUAUGAUUGUUCUAUGUUACCAAUUACAUAUAAAUGUUAAAUUACAGAGAAAACAAAUAGAAAAUAAUCAUCACAUGUUUAAAAAUUUGCAAAAAUAUAAAAAGUUAUAAAAAAAUUCAGUUCAAGAAGUAGAACAAAGGGCAUAAAAAUAGUACUUACUGUAAAGACAAAACCACAUAAUUUAUAUAAUACAUAUUUUAUAGAAUUUUAGUUAUACUACACACACACAUGCACACACACACACACACACACACACACACACACUAAAUGCUAAAAUGUGGAAUAAAAAAUUUACAGUGGGAGGGCAGGCAGAACAAGGUGACAAGAUAGCUAUACCUCCAAAUCUAUAUCCUCCAUCACCAAGACUUAUCUUGAAGUGUUAAACCUAGAAGUGUAUCCAGUAACCAGCCUUCAGAAGAAUAUUUUUUCCAAAGUGCUGUUGAAUUAAAAUCAUAAACAGCUAAUGGAAUAGGAAUGAAAUAAUUAUUUUCUUUCAUUUGCUGGAGAAAAUACUGAGCUAUGAGCUUUUCUUUUCACUACUGGGGUUAAAAUUUUAAGCAUUCUAUUCUUAAAGGAGUGUCUUUUUUCUAAAGAUUUACGUUCAGCAGCUGAAUUUUAAAGCUCUGAGAACACAGCAGUUAUAUGUUAAGCCUAGUGCAAACCUGACCUAGAUUAUUUUCACUGGCUAAAAAUUAUGAAAAAUAUCAAUAAUUUUAUUGGCAAAAAGAUACAUAGAAUAAGUAGUAAUCUUAAGAACUGAACAAGGCAUCCAGACAUACUGAAAAAUAUGGGGCAAAGCAAUUAGAGAAAAAUUAGUCAUUUUCUUCUAGAUAGAUUAUAUAUUCUUUAACAGUAAGGUUUAUGACUAUUAUCUUUAUUUCCCCACCUGCUCUUCCAGGAAUAGCUGCAUAUAAUAGUUACUAAAUACAUAUUUUUAAAUUAUCAGGUUUCCUUUUAAUUCAUGUAACGUUUUAAUCUGUAAAUGUAAUCACAGAAAGUCACCUCAUUUUUAGCUUUACUGAUUGGAGAUGAGGAUUGAUAUUACGAUAAGAGUGAUAUAACAUAUGGUAGACCUAAGUGCAUGAAUUUUGUAUUCCCAGGUAUCAUUUAAAUUUCCUGUCAUUUUAUGUUGUUAUUUGUAAUAUCUUUGUGUUAACAUGCCUCAUGGUAAUUUAGGAGCAGUGACACAGUCUUACUAAAAAAAUGCUAGGGCUCUUGGCUUAAAAUGUUCACUUGCAUUUAAUAUUACAGAAAUUUACAUGUUGGGAUUAAGUGGCCUGAAAAUGUAAGAUAAAAUGGAAGUAAUGCAACCUACUGCAAUAAUAUUGUGCCAAUAUUCAGGCAGGGCACAGAGGAAAAACACAACAGGUUUUGAAACCAGUCAAAUUAAUCACAGCCUAAGCUGGACAAGAGAGAGGGAACAAUUGCUAUUCAUCAGAUCAUGCUGUGAUGAUGAAGGAAACAGAUCUGAUAAUUUGAUUACUGGGCUAUAGAUACAGAAUUUUGGAAAUCUUUCUCAAGUAACUAACUUCUGGGAAUGUGUGCAAGUAUUUCUAUGGCUUGGAAGUAGGAGUUGAAUCGCUCUUAUAACUCGUAUGUUUUAAGGUGAGCAACCCAGACACAACAAAAACUGUUCAAAUAUGAGAUCAAGCAAUAAUUCAUGAUUCACAGACAACAAUCAGGGAAAGGGAGCUAAUAGUAUGAAACUGAUGAACAGAAUAUCAGAGUAGUAGCCCUUGAGGUAUUAUGAGCCAGAGAUCUAUACAUGCAAUUAUAGGCUUCCACUUUUCAUUUUAAUGUCAUGUUAACCCCUUAAAACCUUUUAUUUGUGUCCAAUAGAAUCAAUGUACCUAAUAGUCAUUCACCUCAUAGACUCUACCUCAGGGUGGUAAUUUGAGAGCCUGGAAUGCCAGCUGAGGGAAGACAUGGGAAGACAGCCAAGAUCAGCACUGCCUUUCUGUCAGCCCCUACUUGAUUUUCCUUGCAUCAGUGGUGCUAUCUAAAGGAAUUGCUAAAUGGACUGAUGGAUGUAUUUGUUAAUAAUGACUUUAUCUAUAUAAUGAAGUGAUGGUUGGUAUUCCUGGCCUCUGAGAAUUUUUGAAUCCAGAUUUUAUAAAAUAUAUAAGUCUUGCAUUACUCUGAGGCAGCAAGACAGUGUAUCUCUUUGAAAUGAAGGUGAACUUGACUAAAAUUUCAGGUCUAACAUUUUCUAGCUGUAUGACUUUGGACACCUCGGUUAUUCUCUUUUCCUCACUUUCUUCUUUUAUAAAAUGGAGAUGUUACAUGUCCAUUUAUAUGGUUCAUAUAGCAAACACUUCAUAUGGUUGCUGUAAAGAGAAAAUGAAAUCAUCUAUGUGAACUGCUUACUGGAAUACUGACAGGUAGAAGAUGCUUACUUGUUAAUAGCUAUUUCUAUGGCCACAAGAUGCUCUUAACUAUUUAAAAGCUUCAUCAUUUGAAAGUGAAUACUAUUAUUUAAACUUGAGAGCUAUCAAAUGCAUUUCAUAUUUUCUGUUUGAAAAAUAUGAUGUAAAAUAAAUUAAUACCAAGGAAAUAUUGGUAGUUCACAAAGUCAUUUGCAAUAGUCUCCCAAGACUGAAUACUUUGGGGCACCAAAUUAUGGAAGGCUAGAUAAGUGCUUCUGCAUUUUAAUAAGUGAAGCUGAUACUACAACUUUUUAAAGUAAUGAUGUAUUUUCAUGGCUCCUGUCUCUGUAAAAGCCAAGUGUUCAAAGAAAUGCAUUAAAAAAUUAAUGGAUAUACGAA